rnacentral:rRNA from 1 species
UGAACGCUGGCGGCAUGCUUUACACAUGCAAGUCGGACGGCAGCACAGAGAAGCUUGCUUCUYGGGUGGCGAGUGGCGAACGGGUGAGUAACAUAUCGGAACGUACCGAGUAGUGGGGGAUAACUGAUCGAAAGAUCAGCUAAUACCGCAUACGUCUUGAGAGGGAAAGCAGGGGACCUUCGGGCCUUGCGCUAUUCGAGCGGCCGAUAUCUGAUUAGCUAGUUGGUGGGGUAAAGGCCUACCAAGGCGACGAUCAGUAGCGGGUCUGAGAGGAUGAUCCGCCACACUGGGACUGAGACACGGCCCAGACUCCUACGGGAGGCAGCAGUGGGGAAUUUUGGACAAUGGGCGCAAGCCUGAUCCAGCCAUGCCGCGUGUCUGAAGAAGGCCUUCGGGUUGUAAAGGACUUUUGUCAGGGAAGAAAAGGCUGUUGCUAAUAUCAGCGGCUGAUGACGGUACCUGAAGAAUAAGCACCGGCUAACUACGUGCCAGCAGCCGCGGUAAUACGUAGGGUGCGAGCGUUAAUCGGAAUUACUGGGCGUAAAGCGGGCGCAGACGGUUACUUAAGCAGGAUGUGAAAUCCCCGGGCUCAACCCGGGAACUGCGUUCUGAACUGGGUGACUMGAGUGUGUCAGAGGGAGGUAGAAUUCCACGUGUAGCAGUGAAAUGCGUAGAGAUGUGGAGGAAUACCGAUGGCGAAGGCAGCCUCCUGGGACAACACUGACGUUCAUGCCCGAAAGCGUGGGUAGCAAACAGGAUUAGAUACCCUGGUAGUCCACGCCCUAAACGAUGUCAAUUAGCUGUUGGGCAACUUGAUUGCUUAGUAGCGUAGCUAACGCGUGAAAUUGACCGCCUGGGGAGUACGGUCGCAAGAUUAAAACUCAAAGGAAUUGACGGGGACCCGCACAAGCGGUGGAUGAUGUGGAUUAAUUCGAUGCAACGCGAAGAACCUUACCUGGUCUUGACAUGUACGGAAUCCUCCAGAGACGGAGGAGUGCCUUCGGGAGCCGUAACACAGGUGCUGCAUGGCUGUCGUCAGCUCGUGUCGUGAGAUGUUGGGUUAAGUCCCGCAACGAGCGCAACCCUUGUCAUUAGUUGCCAUCAUUCAGUUGGGCACUCUAAUGAGACUGCCGGUGACAAGCCGGAGGAAGGUGGGGAUGACGUCAAGUCCUCAUGGCCCUUAUGACCAGGGCUUCACACGUCAUACAAUGGUCGGUACAGAGGGUAGCCAAGCCGCGAGGCGGAGCCAAUCUCACAAAACCGAUCGUAGUCCGGAUUGCACUCUGCAACUCGAGUGCAUGAAGUCGGAAUCGCUAGUAAUCGCAGGUCAGCAUACUGCGGUGAAUACGUUCCCGGGUCUUGUACACACCGCCCGUCACACCAUGGGAGUGGGGGAUACCAGAAGUAGGUAGGGUAACCGCAAGGAGUCCGCUUACCACGGUAUGCUUCAUGACUGGGGUGAAGUCGUAA